rnacentral:tRNA from 2 species
GGAGAAAUACCCAAGAGGCCGAAGGGGCUCCCCUGCUAAGGGAGUAGUACGUGAAAGCGUAGCGAGGGUUCAAAUCCCUCUUUCUCCGCCA